rnacentral:lncRNA from 1 species
AGAUCUGUAGGAGGAUUAAGAAAUCAGAUCUAAUCUAAUUUCUUUUCUUUUUCCUUUCUCAAGAGAAAGAAGAAGAUCUAAAGAAGAAAAAUAAGAGAUCUAAUCUCUUUUCUUUUCUUCCCAUCCAAUUCUUGGACUGAUCAUGGAGGAGAAGACAUGUCCAACUCUGGGACAUCUAUGGACGAGAAGGAAGAGAGAAAACCAUGUCCAACUCUUGGACAAAGGAAG